CAGUAGCCGCGGUAAUACGAAGGGGGCUAGCGUUGCUCGGAAUGACUGGGCGUAAAGGGCGCGUAGGCGGUUCUGCAAGUUAGAUGUGAAAUUCCUGGGCUUAACCUGGGGGCUGCAUUUGAUACUGUGGGGCUUGAGUAUGGAAGAGGGUCGUGGAAUUCCCAGUGUAGAGGUGAAAUUCGUAGAUAUUGGGAAGAACACCGGUGGCGAAGGCGGCGACCUGGUCCAUAACUGACGCUGAGGCGCGAAAGCGUGGGGAGCAAACAGGAUUAGAUACCCGAGUAGUCCCUGUCUCUUAUAC
rnacentral:rRNA from 1 species